ensembl:lncRNA
AGGCCUUUGAAAGCAUCUCUGGAAAGAGCAGGGUUGGCUUCACCCGCUGCCCAACGUCUCUCCCGACUGCCUGUGCCAACUUCCGGUCCCUCACCUCAUCGGAGUUCCGGUAAAACGCGGAGCUCCAGUUUUUCAGCCCCUCCUGGAGCUCCACGAUGUCCACCACGCCGCCCCCUUUGUGGUCCAGGUCUUCGAAGAGGAUCCCGUGGCGUAAGUAGUGGUCGUCAUCCUGGCAGGCCACCGCCUCCAGCACGAAGCCCCGCAGCCAGUGCAUGGUCGGGUCGGGAGGCUGCGGGGACCACUCGGCCCGCUCGCCCACACCGCGGCACUCGCCGUCGCCUCCUCCACGCCCCGCUGCGCAAGGCAGGAGGUCCUGGCCGUCCGUCGCUUCCGCAACUGCCUGGUGGAGCCUCAGCGGUUCGGAGCCCAAGCAGGCCAAGCCACCCGCUCCUGCGGGCUCUCGGGCGCCGCGGAGAGGACCCUAGGCAGAACCUUGGGGAGCCACCUUGUGGGACCCCUGGCCGAGACGCCACGCGACAGUUGAGGUGCCAGAUGGCUCCGUGGGAGUGGAACCCUCUGAGCGACGCCGCUUGGCUCCCUGGCUACAGUUCCCUUUCCACAGGAGUGGACGUUUUUCCUGCCUCCCUGGUGUUCCAGGUGUUGCUGAAGUAAAAACUCUAGCUCAGCGCCUGCCCAAACGGCCUCGGACAGGUGCGGCUGCUGCUGUUCUGCCCAGUUUUGUGUUUGAGACCCAGGGCCCUGCUGGUGUAGGCUCAGGAGGGGAAUAUUCUGAUCUGAGGAUUGCAAAAAUCCGUGGGAAAAGCUUAGUACCCUUGGUGGAUAUAACUGUCCCUCACCACUUCCCUUGGCUGGGGAGGGAGGUCCCGCUGCUUGUGCAGCUCCAGGGUGAAGCAGUACCCUCCUUCUCACUCUCUGUGGGUCAUGUCAACCAUCUAGUCAGUCCCAGGGAGAUGAAUUGGGUACCUCAGCUGGAAAUGUAGAGAUCACCCACCUUCCUCGUUCUUCUUGCUGGCAGCCACAGACCAGAGCUGCUUCUAGUGUGCCAUCUUGACUCCUCACCACCAAGGUAAGUUUAAUAAGUCUUCUAAAUUUGUCCUUGCUAUAAUGAUAAGUGAUAAUCUGUCUUUGUUUUUGUUGUUCUUCUUAUUAUUAUACUUUAAGUUCUGGGUACACGUGCAGAACAUGCAAGUGUGUUACGUAGGUAUGCCAAGACCUGCUCGGUCUUAGAGACCCCAACCCAGGCAGCACUGAAGGAAUUAAGAAGCAGAAACAAAGAUGGAGUGCAAAAGUGGGAUCAGAGUUGGGCCAUCAGGGGUCUGACAGCAUUUCCCAGCUGACAGCCCAGAGCAGACUCUGACCCACGUGUUUAUUCUUUGUGAACAAGUGAUUAUUUUUAAUAAGUGGGUGUUCAAUGUUUCUUCAUAGAAUAAAGAUACUCUAAACAGGCAGAUAGUGCCUGUUCACUACUAAAAUAGAAAUAAUCUAGGCUGGGCAUGGUGGCUCACGCCUGUAAUCCCAGCGCUUUGGGAGGCUGAGGCAGGCAGAUCACGAGGUCAAGAUAUUGAGACCAUCCUGGCCAACAUGGUGAAACCCCGUCUCUAGUAAAAAUACAAAAAUUAGCGGGGUGUGGUGGCACGUGUCUGUAGUCCCAGCUACUUAGGAGGUUGAGGCAGGAGAAUUGCUUGAACCUGGGGGCCAGAGGCUUUGAUGAGCCAAGAUCGUGCCACUGCACUCCAGCCUGACCACAGAGCAAGACUCCAUCUCAAAAAAAAAAAAAAGAAAAAGAAAGAAAUAAUCUAGAAAGCACUCUUUUGCGAAUUAGCAAUGUGGAAAAGGUCAAAUAUGCUGUGUGUUGGGAACAGGUUUAACUAGAGCAUGACCGGUACAUAUUGCUUACUUAUUCUAGCAGUUUUUUGCCUGGGAAUGAUGGCUUGGUGUUCCUUGCCAUCACUUCUCAGCAAACAAUAUAUACUCCAUCACACACACAUCAAGACCUUCUCCCAACAUAGACAUACACGUGCCAUGGUGGUUUGCUGCAUCCAUCAACCGGUCAUCUACAUUAGGUAUUUCUCCUAAUGCUAUCCCUCCCCUAUCCUCCCACCCCCUGCUAUCCCUCCCCUAGUCCCC